CGCCCGUCAAACCAUGGGAGCUGGUAAUGCCCGAAGUCGGUUUAUUAACAAACUGCCUAAGGCAGGACUGGUGACUGGGGUUAAGUCGUAACAAGGUAUCCCUACGAGAACGUGGGGAUGGAUCACCUCCUUUCUACGGAGUACACUUAGUUAAUUGUUCUUAAUCGUUAAUUCUAACGGCAAUUAACACUUUUAACCAAACUUACAUUUGGCCUUCAUUAUUUCAUAAAUUUAUCAACGUUUAACAGUCAUGGCUUACAGGUCAUAAGCAAAAUAUAUCUAGUUUUGAGAGAACAUUUCUCUCACAAUGAAAUUGUUCUUUGAAAACUGAAUAGUAAGAUAUUUUAAUUAAUAUUUACAACGACAUCUAACAAAUUAAUGUCAAUUUGUUUUGAUUCAUCGAGUAAAAAACCAACACAAAAAUGGUUUAUUGAAAUGUCUUAAAAUACACAUCAACAACCAAAUAGGAACAUACUUUUAAAUAAGGAAGAGUUUGUGGUGGAUGCCUUGGGUCUGGAAGUCGAUGAAGGACGUGAUUACCUGCGAUAAGUCUCGUGGAACUGGAAAUAAGUUAUGAAGCGGGAAUUUCCGAAUGGGGAAACCUAACUAGGGUAAUGCCUAGUUGCCGUUGUCUGAAUACAUAGGACAAUGAGUGAGACACCUUGCCAACUGAAACAUCUUAGUAGCAAGAGGAAAAGAAAAUAAAUAAUGAUUUCUUUAGUAGCGGCGAGCGAACGAGAAAGAGCCCAAACCAUUUAAUAUGGGGUUGUAGGACGAUCUAUAUAGAGUUACAAAACUUAAUGAUAGCAGAAGCUUUUGGGAAGAAGCGACACAGAGGGUGAUAUCCCCGUAUGCGAAAUUGUUAAGUCUCUUGGUCGGAUCCUGAGUAGGGCGGGGCACGUGGAACCCUGUCUGAACCCGCCGGGACCACCCGGUAAGGCUAAAUACUAACCAGACACCGAUAGUGAACUA
rnacentral:sRNA from 2 species